rnacentral:rRNA from 1 species
UGGGGAAUUUUGGACAAUGGGCGAAAGCCNNNUCCAGCCAUGCCGCGUGUCUGAAGAAGGCCUUCGGGUUGUAAAGGACUUUUGUCAGGGAGGAAAUCCCUAGCGUUAAUACCGCUGGGGGAUGACAGUACCUGAAGAAUAAGCACCGGCUAACUACGUGCCAGCAGCCGCGGUAAUACGUAGGGUGCGAGCGUUAAUCGGAAUUACUGGGCGUAAAGCGUGCGCAGGCGGUUUGAUAAGCCAGAUGUGAAAUCCCCGAGCUCAACUUGGGAACUGCGUUUGGAACUGUCAGACUANAGUGCGUCAGAGGGGGGUGGAAUUCCGCGUGUAGCAGUGAAAUGCGUAGAGAUGCGGAGGAACACCGAUGGCGAAGGCAGCCCCCUGGGAUGACACUGACGCUCAUGCACNAAAGCGUGGGGAGCAAACAGGAUUAGAUACCCUGGUAGUCCACGCCCUAAACGAUGUCAAUUAGCUGUUGGGGGUUAGAAUCCCUGGUAGCGUAGCUAACGCGUGAAAUUGACCGCCUGGGGAGUACGGCCGCAAGGUUA